UACGGAGGGAGCUAGCGUUGUUCGGAAUUACUGGGCGUAAAGCGCACGUAGGCGGCUAUUCAAGUCAGAGGUGAAAGCCCGGGGCUCAACCCCGGAACUGCCUUUGAAACUAGGUAGCUAGAAUCUUGGAGAGGUCAGUGGAAUUCCGAGUGUAGAGGUGAAAUUCGUAGAUAUUCGGAAGAACACCAGUGGCGAAGGCGACUGACUGGACAAGUAUUGACGCUGAGGUGCGAAAGCGUGGGGAGCAAACAGG
rnacentral:rRNA from 1 species